UACCGGAUACUACCUGUCACCGCAUGGUGGUGGGUGGAAAGAUUUUUUGGUUUUGGAUGGACUCUCGGCCUAUCAGCUUGUUGGUGAGGUAAUGGCUCACCAAGGCUACGACGGGUAGCCGGCCUGAGAGGGUGACCGGCCACACUGGGACUGAGACACGGCCCAGACUCCUACGGGAGGCAGCAGGGGGGAAUAUUGCACAAUGGGUGAAAGCCUGAUGCAGCGACGCCGCGUGAGGGAUGACGGCCUUCGGGUUGUAAACCUCUUUCAGCAGGGAAGAAGCGAAAGUGACGGUACCUGCAGAAGAAGCGCCGGUUAACUACGUGCCAGCAGCCGCGGUAAUACGUAGGGCGCAAGCGUUGUCCGGAAUUAUUGGGCGUAAAGAGCUCGUAGGCGGUUUGUCGCGUCUGCUGUGAAAGCCCGGGGCUCAACCUCGGGUCUGCAGUGUGUACGGGCAGACUAGAGUGCAGUAGGGGAGACUGGAAUUCCUGGUGUAGCGGUGAAAUGCGCAGAUAUCAGGAGGAACACCGAUGGCGAAGGCAGGUCUCUGGGCUGUAACUGACGCUGAGGAGCGAAAGCAUGGGGAGCGAACAGGAUUAGAUACCCUGGUAGUCCAUGCCGUAAACGUUGGGCACUAGGUGUGGGGGACAUUCCACGUUUUCCGCGCCGUAGCUAACGCAUUAAGUGCCCCGCCUGGGGAGUACGGCCGCAAGGCUAAAACUCAAAGGAAUUGACGGGGGCCCGCACAAGCGGCGGAGCAUGCGGAUUAAUUCGAUGCAACGCGAAGAACCUUACCAAGGCUUGACAUGGACCGGACCGCCGCAGAAAUGCGGUUUCCCUUCGGGGCCGGUUUACAGGUGGUGCAUGGUUGUCGUCAGCUCGUGUCGUGAGAUGUUGGGUUAAGUCCCGCAACGAGCGCAACCCUCGUUCUAUGUUGCCAGCGCGUGAUGGCGGGGACUCAUAGGAGACUGCCGGGGUCAACUCGGAGGAAGGUGGGGACGACGUCAAAUCAUCAUGCCCCUUAUGUCUUGGGCUUCACGCAUGCUACAAUGGCCGGUACAAAGGGUUGCGAUACUGUGAGGUGGAGCUAAUCCCAAAAAGCCGGUCUCAGUUCGGAUUGAGGUCUGCAACUCGACCUCAUGAAGUCGGAGUCGCUAGUAAUCGCAGAUCAGCAACGCUGCGGUGAAUACGU
rnacentral:rRNA from 1 species